rnacentral:rRNA from 1 species
UACGGAGGGAGCUAGCGUUGUUCGGAAUUACUGGGCGUAAAGCGCACGUAGGCGGCUUUGUAAGUUAGAGGUGAAAGCCCGGAGCUCAACUCCGGAACUGCCUUUAAGACUGCAUCGCUUGAAUCCAGGAGAGGUGAGUGGAAUUCCGAGUGUAGAGGUGAAAUUCGUAGAUAUUCGGAAGAACACCAGUGGCGAAGGCGGCUCACUGGACCGGUAUUGACGCUGAGGUGCGAAAGCGUGGGGAGCAAACAGG